AAUUAACCCGUACCCUGUUGGAGUACUUAGCUUCAUAGAUUAUGCGGGUACUUUAACUUAAGCGCAUGCCAAUUAGCCAACGUUAUUUGUCAAUAGGAAUGUUUUAGCGUUGCUUAUUUAUUCAGUAAUCACGAAUUAGAUUGGUUAUAUCGUCUGCUUGGAGGUAAAAGUCACUAAGUGCAAUUUUUUCCAAAUUCGAGAAAAAGUCAUUGUGUGUUGAUGUAAUAAUUUCCCAUAAGUAUGAAAAGUCACUAAAUGAACAUAACUGCUAUAAGUGCAAAUCAGAGAAUGAGAAAAUUCACUAUUUAAUUAUUUGAGAAGUUUCGUAAAAGUUAAAGUUCAUCAUAGUCACUUGAUGAGUUUUACCAUUCAUGGUUUCUGUAGGUUAGGGCACUUGGUGAAUUUCCCUCUAGCGCUUUUCUUUGGAACUACAUAUCUCUCUUUAUCCAAUUCAAUCUGUUAACUACAAGUGAGUUAUGGGUUAUGCCAAUAAAAACAUUGUUGUGUUUAUUUUGUUCGUUAAAAGUGCAUUGUAAUCACUUAAAAAUGCUCAGUCGCGGUAAUAAGCUAGUUGCUUUGUGCAAGUCUAAUGAAAUUAAUAAUAAGGAAAAGGAAUCAUUAGAUGAGAAUGGAAACAACAAUAGAAACCAGGAGUUUAUGAUUAAAACACUGCAAUCACGGAAAACAUUGCCCUUAAUGAAGAUGAAAUAGAUAACCUGCUAUUAGAUUCUGGGUCAGAGUAUGUACCUUCUCCUUCAAAUUCAACUCUUGAUGUUUAUUCAGAUGAGAUUACCGAUCGAGAAAAUAAUGAAGAAACGACAUUAGAAAGCAGUAGCCAAAAGAAAAAAAGAAGCCUCCACCCAACAAAACCCAGCCUAUUGAAAUAGAUUAUGUCAAAGAACACAAAUUCUUUUCCUACUGUGGAAUCUCACUACACCAGAAAAAAUAGUGAGAAAAAGUAUUUAUCUAGCGAUUUAAAUAUUUCCUCAAUGUAUAGACUUUACAAAGAAAGGUGUGAAAUCAAAAAUAUAAAUACUGUUAGCAUCCAUCAGUAUAGAAAAAUCUUUUGUACAAUUAUUCCUUUUUUGUGCCCCAAAAAGAUCAAUGCAUGUUAUGCAGCAAAUACAAUCUUGCUAAAAAAGAAAACUGUUUAGGUGAAGAUCUGGAGGAAUCCUACAAUGUUCACAUAAAAUGAAAAACAGUUUGCCAAGAAGCCGAAAGUAAGGACAAAGAGUGUGCAGAAUUUGACAGCAGCUUUAAAACCUUUACAUUUGAUCUGCAAAAAGUAAUGCAGCUCCCAUCUACAUCUGCUGUUUCCCAAUUUUAUUAUAGCCAAAAAAUUUUGGUAUAUAACUUGACUUUCUUUGAAAGCAAAAAUAAAGAAGGAAGUUGUUUCUUUUGGAAUGAAAUAAAUGGGAAAAGAGGCUCUAAUGAAAUUGUUAUAAUGUUAUUAUUAUGAAAUUUAUAUCCAUGCUACCCCCUGGGAUAAAGAAGCCAUUUAGAGGUGAUUGAACAUAAAUUUUUGGAAUCCGGCUAUUCUUUCAUGGAAUGUGAUUCCAUGCAUUCCACGAUAGAAAGGAAAAUGAAAAAUCAAGAGAUAUUUAUGAUGAAUGAUUAUAAACGAAUAUUUGAAGGAGCCAGAACAGGAAAAAAUACCAUACCCUACAAAUGCUUUGAGCUGAAGUAUACAGAUUUUUUAGAUUUAGGAAACCUCAGUUCUAAGAUCAUAAAAAAUAAAAAAACUGAUAUAGAAGGAAACAAGAUUAAUUGGUUAAAAAUUAAAUGUUUCAAAUUUUUGAAAACAGAACCAAACAAAAUAUUUUAUAAGUACAGUCAUAAAGACGACUACAAGGCCUUAGAUAUUAAUAGCUCAUCAAAUCGUGGAAGACCACGAAGCAAUGACAACUGUUUCCCAGCUCUCGUCUCUGCCUAUAGUGUCCAAUUAAAGUUAAAUAAAGCAAAGAAAAAAGACUUGAUCCAACUUUGUGACAAAGGAGUCAUUCCAGAGGAAGUCCAGCUGUGGUAUAGAAAUAUACCGUCUCUAAAAACUUCAGAUGAAAGAGCUCCAGAGCCUUGUAUAGAUGAUAUAAGAGAUGAAGAAUGGAUUCUCGAGUAAUUUUGACCUGAAAAAAUGUGUAUAAGAUUUUUGCGUGUAUUAUACUGUAUGAUAUAUUUGUUUAGUGUUUUUCUCUGAUUACAAAAUAUUUGUGAAACAUUUCUGUCUGUAAAUAAAAAGAUUAUAAAAAAA